UAUCCUGAAAUUCGCGCUAACUUAUCCGUGUUGACUGGUGCGCCGUUCAGGUACCUUGUCCCGGUUUUUCCGAGUAGUGAAAGAAAUGCACACAUGCGGAAUAGGAUAAUGAGGCCUCCUAGGCAGGCUAUAUCACGGUUGAAAUCGUGCGUAAUUACUGGUUUGAAGUUGUAAAUUGCCAGAAUAUCUUCUCCGCUACAAGCGACGUUUUUCUCGUAAGCUGCGUAAAGACCGGUAAUGAUAUCAACAAGUUGUACAAUGGGCCCACUCGCGUCCUCAGGAAGAAGGUCAGCGAUUGCAGAGACGUUAUAGCCAACGUAUUGACAAUCUGUGUUGUUGAACUCGACGCCGUACCACUGGUUAAUGGAUAGGGCUUCAUUGCCGUACAUAAACCAGGACAGGUAACGCAACCAGUCCAGGUAAACAGGAACCGAACCAUUUUGCAGGAAAAAACCACCGAAGAGCAGUACAGGAAUAAUCAUGGGUGCUGAAAUAGCAAGAGCAACUUGGGGCGUCGACGCAACACACGAAACGAAAUAACCUGAAAUCAAAAUAUGUUCCAAGAAUUGACAAUGUGAUCUAAGAACGUGUUCCCUUUUCAUGAAGAAUAAUAAGUCUGGAUAACUCACCGAAAGAGGUGGCGACGUUUGUCACAAGAAUGACGAUACCAGCCCCGAUAAAGAAUCUUUCCACUGCCGGAUUCAAGCCAAUGAUGUAAUAUGGAAUUGCGAAGGCGAUGAACGGGAAGAGGAUGUAAACUCCCAACUCAGCAAUAGUUUUGGACAAAAAGUAGACGUCCGUCCGGUACAUGCCGUUGAAGUGCUCCCGUAAGAAUAUCGGCAAUUCGAAUGAAAAAGUCUGCAAGUUUCAAACUUUACAUUUAUAACUGCGAAGACAUUUUCGAAAGUGGCGUUGGUUAGGAACAGAAACAGAACGCCCUGAAUAUUUAAGGAGCUGCUGGCAUCCAUAGUUUGUCCUUGAUAGAUGAGGGCAAUCAAAAGAGCGAUGAACUGUCAGGUGUCAACCAAUUAACUGUUAGUUCCAUGUGUCAAACAAUUAAUGCUCUUUAUCGACUUACGACAGAAGAAGAUGCCUUCACUAACAAAAUCUGAGGAUCACGGACGACCGAGAGGAAGGAGCGCCAAAGUACGGCGGAGAACUGCUGGAAGAAAUUGGCCUUAUAUAGAAGAUUCGUAAGCAUCGCAUACGUAUUUAAUUUUUUGGCGGGACUCGGUCUCCUUGCCCGGCACAGUAGCCAAGCUAAAUAUGUA
rnacentral:lncRNA from 1 species